rnacentral:lncRNA from 1 species
AGAGAGAAGAGAAGAGAAGAGAAGAGAAGAGAAGAGAGAGAGAAGAGAGAGAGAGAGAGAGAGAGAACUCAAGUGUGACAACCAUAAACACAUUGUUCUUGCUAUUGAAUGAAGGAGUCAAAGUGGAAGUUUAGAAGGAUCAAUGCUCCCAAAGGAUGGUCUCAAAUCCUUGAACUGAAGUAAGAACAGAAGUGUUUACUGCAAGGUCGCUGUUGUGAAACGUCUUGUGGCUGGGAGCCUUCACAGGGGGUCUUCUCAUGGAGAUGCCGUGUAAGGCAGAGAAAGGGGACAGCGUUGUUCCGAGACUUUCCACUACUGUUUCAUGCGAGGGAUAGACUACUGAUGGCACAGAGAAUCAACAGAUCACUAUAAAGAAGGUUGCAGACUAUUACUGUGGGAAAAAUGGACCAAAGAAGCUUGCUUAUCUAUGUAAGUUAGGAUUGUUCAUGGCUAAUAUUGUAUAGAAAUGGUGCUAGCAGACCCUGUGUGUACCCCAAAGGCUAUGCCAAAUAUCCAUGACACCACGCUUACUUCAGAAUCAUUGAAUGGGAAGAAGACGAAGAAUAUCCAUACUCAUUCUCUGGACUUACUGUGUUCUCUGUCAAUAAGGUUGGUGAACCAGCACACCAGGCUAGAUGCCAUAUCCUAGCUAGACAAACCUUAAUGGCAUAAUGGAGAGUCAAUGCAUCCUCCCUGCCAAAAGCACGCUUAUUAGUGAAAUAGGUAGGAAUUCCAACUGAUAAUGCCAACUCAUUGGAGCAAGUGGUUUCUCAAUUGAUCAAAUAUUUAGCAACCUCAAAAUACGUCAUCCAUAAUAUAAAUUAUGGUGAUGUGCCAUAACCAAGCUUUUAGAGGUCUAAAAAUACUGCGUAGAACUUAGUGGAAAUGCUUUACACACUAAAAGAGCAGAAUGAAACGGUUUCCAUCUGCACGGCACUGCCCAGCUCACCUGUCUUCUAGACACAGGGUGAGGACUGGGGACAGCUACAGAGAACGGGACAGUUACUGCCUGAAGACCAGUGUGAAGAAUAGAACUAAACUCAAUUCUGCUUAGCCACUCGGGUGUGGUCAUGCGUGUCUCUAGCUCCAGCUUUUGGAAAGUGGAAGCAGGAGGAUCGUAAGUCCAAGGCGAGAGGAAUCUAGGCACAAGGUGACAGUCGCACUCAGGCUCAAGGAGGAUGAGAACAAGAGGUAGCAGACACCCACCUUUUCCAUUUAGGUUUGCCCUCUUCCUGUCCCCAUUUUGAAGGAACUGUCUCUCCUCCUAUUUUCAACCUAUGUGAUUCAGAUGAACACCACUUAGGGUUCAAAAGCAAGCAGAGGCACAAGUCUGGCUACCUCAUGUCUUUGGUUAUGGCUAGUGACAAAGGACAGACAUGUGGCAUAAGCCAGCCAACACAAACGAUCAUACUCAGCCUCAGAAUCCUUGUAACACUAUCGGGGACAUUUUUUAAAAAUUAGGAAACUAGCCCUAAGGACAACAUGAGCAGAGACCUGAAUUCUUUUACUAAGGACAAACAACUGCAAAGACAGAUUCCCCCACAACAGGACAGAGCAUCUAACAGACAUGUCUGAAGCCUCUCUCCCCACGUCACAAGGCAACCUUCUAACUUCAUCUUUUUAAAAAGCUUAAACCAUGUGCUUUACCCAACUCUAUAACUCCAGCUCCUCCCCUCAAAUGCACCCAAAAUAUUAACCUUAAAAGAGUCAUAUACUUUGUAUAUUUAUUUU